UACGAAGGGGGCUAGCGUUGCUCGGAAUCACUGGGCGUAAAGCGCACGUAGGCGGCUUGUUAAGUCAGGGGUGAAAUCCUGGAGCUCAACUCCAGAACUGCCUUUGAUACUGGCGAGCUUGAGUUCGGGAGAGGUGAGUGGAACUGCGAGUGUAGAGGUGAAAUUCGUAGAUAUUCGGAAGAACACCAGUGGCGAAGGCGGCUCACUGGCCCGGUACUGACGCUGAGGUGCGAAAGCGUGGGGAGCAAACAGG
rnacentral:rRNA from 1 species